UACGUAGGGACCAAGCGUUGUUCGGAUUUACUGGGCGUAAAGGGCGCGUAGGCGGCAAUUCAAGUCAUCUGUGAAAUCUCCGGGCUUAACCCGGAACGGUCAGAUGAUACUGCUUUGCUAGAGUGCGGAAGGGGCAAUCGGAAUUCUUGGUGUAGCGGUGAAAUGCGUAGAUAUCAAGAGGAACACCUGAGGUGAAGACGGGUUGCUGGGCCGACACUGACGCUGACAGCGCGAAAGCCAGGGGAGCAAACAGG
rnacentral:rRNA from 1 species